rnacentral:rRNA from 1 species
AGUGAACGCUGGCGGCGUGCCUAAUACAUGCAAGUCGAACGGAGAUUAAAUAGCUUGCUAUUUAAUCUUAGUGGCGCACGGGUGAGUAAUAUAUAGUUAAUCUGCCCCAUAGUGGAGGACAACAGUUAGAAAUGACUGCUAAUACUCCAUACUCCUUCUUAUCAUAAGUUAAGUCGGGAAAGUUUUUCGCUAUGGGAUGAGACUAUAUCGUAUCAGCUAGUUGGUGAGGUAAUGGCUCACCAAGGCUAUGACGCGUAACUGGUCUGAGAGGAUGAUCAGUCACAUUGGAACUGAGACACGGUCCAAACUCCUACGGGAGGCAGCAGUAGGGAAUAUUGCGCAAUGGGGGAAACCCUGACGCAGCAACGCCGCGUGGAGGAUGACACUUUUCGGAGCGUAAACUCCUUUUGUUAGGGAAGAAUAAUGACGGUACCUAACGAAUAAGCACCGGCUAACUCCGUGCCAGCAGCCGCGGUAAUACGGAGGGUGCAAGCGUUACUCGGAAUCACUGGGCGUAAAGGACGCGUAGGCGGAUUAUCAAGUCUCUUGUGAAAUCUAGUGGCUUAACCACUAAACUGCUUGGGAAACUGAUAAUCUAGAGUAAGGGAGAGGCAGAUGGAAUUCUUGGUGUAGGGGUAAAAUCCGUAGAGAUCAAGAAGAAUACUUAUUGCGAAGGCGAUCUGCUAGAACUUAACUGACGCUGAUGCGUGAAAGCGUGGGGAGCAAACAGG